rnacentral:rRNA from 1 species
CAGCCCUAAACGAUGCGCGUUAGGUGUAUCGGUGACCACGAGUCACCGAGGUGCCGAAGGGAAACCGUGAAACGUGCCGCCUGGGAAGUACGGUCGCAAGGCUGAAACUUAAAGGAAUUGGCGGGGGAGCACUACAACGGGUGGAGCCUGCGGUUUAAUUGGACUCAACGCCGGAAACUCACCGGGGGCGACAGCAAUAUGUAGGUCAAGCUAAAGACUUUACCAGAAUCGCUGAGAGGAGGUGCAUGGCGUAGACGUCU